rnacentral:rRNA from 1 species
AACACGGCCCAAACUCCUACGGGAGGCAGCAGGGGGGAAUUUUCCGCAAUGGGCGAAAGCCUGACGGAGCAAUACCGCGUGAGGGAGGAAGGCUCUUGGGUUGUAAACCUCUUUUCUCAGGGAAUAAAAAAAUGAAGGUACCUGAGGAAUAAGCAUCGGCUAACUCCGUGCCAGCAGCCGCGGUAAUACGGAGGAUGCAAGCGUUAUCCGGAAUGAUUGGGCGUAAAGCGUCCGCAGGUGGCUAUGUAAGUCUGCUGUUAAAGAGUGAGGCUCAACCUCAUAAAAGCGGUGGAAACUACAUGGCUAGAGUGCGUUCGGGGCAGAGGGAAUUCCUGGUGUAGCGGUGAAAUGCGUAAAGAUCAGGAAAAACACCGGUGGCGAAAGCGCUCUGCUAGGCCGCAACUGACACUGAGGGACGAAAGCUAGGGGAGCGAAUGGGAUUA